rnacentral:misc_RNA from 1 species
UGCUCCCGAGUAUGGAGCAGUUGAAACCCCUACAGGGGAGAGCUCCCAUUCGAUUUUCAGGAAUCCCUAUGUUCCGAAGUCUCGGGAAGUGGAGACUGCGAAUUCAAGCUCAAACAGCUAUUUCUACUCAGCAACCCCACCUUUGUCGCCUUGCUUUGAUGCAUGUGAGGAGAAGUCCAGUGUGACUGUAAACCUCAAAACAGGUACCG